GUGGGGAAUAUUGGACAAUGGGCGCAAGCCUGAUCCAGCCAUGCCGCGUGAGUGAUGAAGGCCCUAGGGUUGUAAAGCUCUUUCACCGGAGAAGAUAAUGACGGUAUCCGGAGAAGAAGCCCCGGCUAACUUCGUGCCAGCAGCCGCGGUAAUACGAAGGGGGCUAGCGUUGUUCGGAAUUACUGGGCGUAAAGCGCACGUAGGCGGACAUUUAAGUCAGGGGUGAAAUCCCGGAGCUCAACUCCGGAACUGCCUUUGAUACUGGGUGUCUGGAGUAUGGAAGAGGUGAGUGGAAUUCCGAGUGUAGAGGUGAAAUUCGUAGAUAUUCGGAGGAACACCAGUGGCGAAGGCGGCUCACUGGCCCAAUACUGACGCUGAGGCGCGAAAGCGUGGGGAGCAAACAGGAUUAGAAACCCUAGUAGUCC
rnacentral:rRNA from 1 species